UUUCCGUAGGUGAACCUGCGGAAGGAUCAUUAUCGUACAACCGAGGUGCAAGGGCUGUCGCUGACCCUUUCAAAGGUCGUGCACGCCCGAGCGCUCUCACCACAAUCCAUCUCACCCCUUUGUGCAUCACCGCGUGGGUCCCCCUUUGCGGGAGGGCCCGCGUUUUCACAUAAAACUUGAUACAGUCUAGAAUGUUUAUUUUUGCGGUCACACGCAAUCAAUACAACUUUCAACAACGGAUCUCUUGGCUCUC
rnacentral:misc_RNA from 1 species